UUUAGGGGUUUUUUUUGUCCUUUUUGCUUUGCUGCCCCCACAACUGCACCAUCUCUAUCUUGCCGGCGCCUCUUUAUUCGUCGUGGCUGUGCGAGGGGUUCUCUGCUCUUGCUUGUUUUUCUGGCGCCGUCGAACUCCUUCGGUGCUUGAACUUCCUCCUUCGCCGUAACGAGUGUUUUUUUUCUCUUUAGCCGAUAUUUCUCUGUCAAUGGAGUCUUCUUCCAUCGACAGUUGCCUUUCCGUGAAGUGGUGCUCUCCGGCGCUCUCUCUCACUACCGACUGUUGUGUUGGUGCUCGCGCUCAUCGUCUGCUUCUUCUUACAUCAAUUCGGGGAGCUGAUUCAGUUCCCGAUUCAUACGACGAAUCGUUCCCAGUGACCGCUUUAUUGCUCUUCACUUCAACUUCUCCCUACCCAGUAUGCCGAAGAAACGGAGAGUUCUAGAGAUUCUAUGGAAACUUUUCUGUGAAAGAGCUCGAACUCUUGCCGACACAAUCAUGUCUAUGGUUUCAAAAUCAAGCGGUGAGGGGGAAAAUGCGUUUUUUUCUCAUUAAACGUGGCGAUUCUUCCGAUUACCGCAAGUCCUCCAUCAUUGUCUCGUUGUUGUCAACGAGGAAGCACCCCAUUUCUCCCAUUUCUCCCAUUUCUCUACGAACCUCUACUGGUCCCAACACUGAGAGCCAGCUUGCAGGAGAAUCUGAACUCUGCAGACUGGAAAAAAAACCAUCGCUAAAUGUGUGAAGUCUGAUAGCCUGUGGGACGAUUGCUCUUCCUGCAUGUGCCAACAAAAAUCUUCCACGGUUUUAAAGAAAGACAGCAUCAAAGCAGUCAGUUUGCAAGCAAUAAUCUGCAGCAGUAAAAAUAAAACAAAAGUGCAGAGUUCAGCAGGCAGUUUUCCUGGAGAGUGAAGGAGAUGAUGCCAGGAUGGAAUUUUAGGCAAAGGGAAGAAACCUGGAUCAUGCAGGUGAAGCCAAAAGUGCAGCAGCAAGCAGACACAAUGAGCUGCUCCAUUGAAUUGCCUACUAACCAGCAGCCUAAAGCAGAAUCUGAAGAGUACUUCAAAGGCGAGACUGCAGAGAGAUAUACUUGUUGUGGAUGUUAAACUAACUUUAGAAGUUGGGAAAAUCCCGUUGCAGAGUAAGGUCCAUCUGAUUGUGAAACUGGUGAAGCCUAUCAGUUAGACAUAGAGAAUACUAAUUUUUCAGUAUUAAAAAACUAAAAUGAAAUGCUAUUUUACUGAGUCUUUACCAGUUCAAAGCUUUCGUGCAGGGUUAGAAAUUGUGUAGUUUCUGUUUAUUGUCAUUACUGGUUUAUAUGUUGCCAUUCCAUGAGGUUAAUUAAUACUCUGAUGUGAUUGCAGGGAAACCACAUGCUCUUCACAAGAGGGUGGAGCAGCUCUGCAGCAGGCAAUUUAAAUGGGCUGAGCUGAAAAGAAAAUCAAAGGUGUUUGUUUAGUUUGCUAGAGUACAAAACUAUUGGCUUUCCCAUUUUCCCUAGUUGGUUUUCAACAAACCCAAUCUAUUUACAAUCUUACUGUCAAACAAUAGAGAGGAAAAUAGACACUAAUAGUUCCAGUUUGAAAGGGCGUCUUUGCGUAGUUGGGUUUAAAUAAUCUGCUUACCUAUAACGCUUGUUAGGGUAAUGUUUGAUUCACCUAAUAUUUUAUUAUUUAGCAAGCUAAAUAAAAAGAUAAAGAGAGAUUCAAGCAACCCAAUUUCCCAUACUUUGUAAUUUACAGUUUGAUUAAACUUUUUAGGACAUUUUGUUGUGGUGAUCAUAUGAGUCUUUUCUUCUCUUUUAUUUCACUCGUAUAGAGACUGCAUCAGAGUUCAUGGAUCAAAUGAAGUACACAUAUACUCCUUGAAAUUUUAGGUUCUCGUGCCUCAAUUAUUUUCAGGCUAUGUUUUCAGCUGUAGAACUUGAAUAGGAUAACUUUUUCAUUGCAUCAGACUUUUUUUUUUUUUGUUUAUUAUUAUUAUUAUAAUUGAGGCUUGAAGAGGCUUUUAGUAUUAUGAAGGUGGCCAGCAUUGUUUACUAUGUAUUUUUCAUUUUUAUUCUAAUGAUCAAGUUGACAACAAUUUUUCAAGGUUUACCAUAGAUUUCAUUUAUCUUCUACUGUUGUAAUUCUUAUGAAUUAUUUAUUCAGCUUAUGCAGUUUGUGUAAUAAUUUACAAGCUAGUUUUUGUGAAGGCAAAUUUGAAUGUUUCCUAAUCUGUAUCUAUCUAUUUUGAAAAUUUAA